GAGGAAUAUGGCCCGUGGGUCCCCUUUAUUGGAACUAUGUUUCUAUUUAUUUUUGUUUCUAAUUGGGCGGGGGCGCUUUUACCUUGGAAGAUCAUACAGUUACCUCACGGGGAGUUAGCCGCACCGACGAAUGAUAUAAAUACUACCGUUGCUUUAGCUUUACUUACGUCAAUAGCCUAUUUUUAUGCGGGCCUUAGCAAAAAAGGAU
rnacentral:misc_RNA from 1 species